rnacentral:lncRNA from 1 species
AUGAUGACGAGUCUGACUUGGGGAUGUUCUCUUUGCCCAGGUGGCCUACUCUGUGCUGCGUUCUGUGGCACAGUUUAAAGAGCCCUGGUUGAAGUAAUUUCCUAAAGAUGACUUAGAGGCAUUUGUCUGAGAAGGGUUGCUGCACUCCUGUUGGAACAAGGGUUUGGAACCAUUGGUUGGAGUUUGUCGCUGAUGGCAUCUUCAAAGCUGAACUGAAUGAGUUUCUUACUCGGGAGCUGGCUGAAGAUGGCUACUCUGGAGUUGAGGUGCGAGUUACACCAACCAGGACAGAAAUCAUUAUCUUAGCCACCAGAACACAGAAUGUUCUUGGUGAGAAGGGCCGGCGGAUUCGGGAACUGACUGCUGUAGUUCAGAAGAGGUUUGGCUUUCCAGAGGGCAGUGUAGAGCUUUAUGCUGAAAAGGUGGCCACUAGAGGUCUGUGUGCCAUUGCCCAGGCAGAGUCUCUGCGUUACAAACUCCUAGGAGGGCUUGCUGUGCGGAGGGCCUGCUAUGGUGUGCUGCGGUUCAUCAUGGAGAGUGGGGCCAAAGGCUGCGAGGUUGUGGUGUCUGGGAAACUCCGAGGACAGAGGGCUAAAUCCAUGAAGUUUGUGGAUGGCCUGAUGAUCCACAGCGGAGACC